rnacentral:rRNA from 1 species
CCUACGGGGGGCAGCAGUGAGGAAUAUUGGUCAAUGGGCGCUAGCCUGAACCAGCCAAGUAGCGUGAAGGAUGACUGCCCUAUGGGUUGUAAACUUCUUUUAUAUGGGAAUAAAGUGCAGUAUGUAUACUGCUUUGCGUGUACUUUAUGAAUAAGGAUCGGCUAACUCCGUGCCAGCAGCCGCGGUAAUACGGAGGAUCCGAGCGUUAUCCGGAUUUAUUGGGUUUAAAGGGAGCGUAGGGGGGUUGUUAAGUCAGUUGUGAAAGUUUGCGGCUCAACCGUAAAAUUGCAGUUGAUACUGGCAGCCUUGAGUACAGUAGAGGUAGGCGGAAUUCGUGGUGUAGCGGUGAAAUGCUUAGAUAUCACGAAGAACUCCGAUUGCGAAGGCAGCCUGCUGGACUGUAACUGACGCUGAUGCUCGAAAGUGUGGGUAUCAAACAGGAUUAGAUACCCGUGUAGUC